rnacentral:rRNA from 1 species
GUAGGUGGCAAGCGUUGUCCGGAAUUAUUGGGCGCAAAGCGCGCGCAGGCGGUUCUUUAAGUCUGAUGUGAAAGCCCACGGCUCAACCGUGGAGGGUCAUUGGAAACUGGAGAACUUGAGUACAGAAGAGGAAAGCGGAAUUCCACGUGUAGCGGUGAAAUGCGUAGAGAUGUGGAGGAACACCAGUGGCGAAGGCGGCUUUCUGGUCUGUAACUGACGCUGAGGCGCGAAAGCGUGGGGAGCAAACAGGAUUAGAUACCCUGGUAGUCCACGCCGUAAACGAUGAGUGCUAAGUGUUAGGGGGUUUCCGCCCCCCUUAGUGCUGCAGCUAACGCAUUAAGCACUCCGCCCUGGGAGUACGGCCGCGAGGCUG